rnacentral:rRNA from 1 species
GUUUGAUUCAUGGCUCAGGACGAACGCUGGCGGCGUGCUUAACACAUGCAAGUCGAGCGGUAAGGCCUUUCGGGGUACACGAGCGGCGAACGGGUGAGUAACACGUGGGUGAUCUGCCCUGCACUUCGGGAUAAGCCUGGGAAACUGGGUCUAAUACCGGAUAUGACCUCAGGUUGCAUGAUUUGGGGUGGAAAGAUUUAUCGGUGCAGGAUGGGCCCGCGGCCUAUCAGCUUGUUGGUGGGGUAAUGGCCUACCAAGGCGACGACGGGUAGCCGACCUGAGAGGGUGACCGGCCACACUGGGACUGAGACACGGCCCAGACUCCUACGGGAGGCAGCAGUGGGGAAUAUUGCACAAUGGGCGAAAGCCUGAUGCAGCGACGCCGCGUGAGGGAUGACGGCCUUCGGGUUGUAAACCUCUUUCAGCAGGGACGAAGCGCAAGUGACGGUACCUGCAGAAGAAGCACCGGCUAACUACGUGCCAGCAGCCGCGGUAAUACGUAGGGUGCAAGCGUUGUCCGGAAUUACUGGGCGUAAAGAGUUCGUAGGCGGUUUGUCGCGUCGUUUGUGAAAACCAGCAGCUCAACUGCUGGCUUGCAGGCGAUACGGGCAGACUUGAGUACUGCAGGGGAGACUGGAAUUCCUGGUGUAGCGGUGAAAUGCGCAGAUAUCAGGAGGAACACCGGUGGCGAAGGCGGGUCUCUGGGCAGUAACUGACGCUGAGGAACGAAAGCGUGGGUAGCGAACAGGAUUAGAUACCCUGGUAGUCCACGCCGUAAACGGUGGCGCUAGGUGUGGGUUCCUUCCACGGAAUCCGUGCCGUAGCUAACGCAUUAA